rnacentral:rRNA from 1 species
AACUCCUACGGGAGGCAGCAGUGAGGAAUAUUGGUCAAUGGACGAGAGUCUGAACCAGCCAAGUAGCGUGAAGGAUGAAGGUCCUACGGAUUGUAAACUUCUUUUAUAAGGGAAUAAACCCUCCCACGUGUGGGAGCUUGUACGUACCUUAUGAAUAAGCAUCGGCUAACUCCGUGCCAGCAGCCGCGGUAAUACGGAGGAUGCGAGCGUUAUCCGGAUUUAUUGGGUUUAAAGGGAGCGCAGACGGGUCGUUAAGUCAGCUGUGAAAGUUUGGGACUCAACCUUAAAAUUGCAGUUGAUACUGGCGUCCUUGAGUGCGGUUGAGGUGUGCGGAAUUCGUGGUGUAGCGGUGAAAUGCUUAGAUAUCACGAAGAACUCCGAUUGCGAAGGCAGCACACUAAUCCGUAACUGACGUUCAUGCUCGAAAGUGUGGGUAUCAAACAGGAUUAGAUACCCUGGUAGUCCACACGGUAAACGAUGGAUACUCGCUGUUGGCGAUAUACGGUCAGCGGCUUAGCGAAAGCGUUAAGUAUCCCACCUGGGGAG